CGAGCAUAGUGUGCUGCCGCGCCGUCGAUUUCCACGAAGUGGCCAGCCCGAGCCGAUUCCCCAAUGUGUCAAUGACUACGUCCGCUGCGUGAUCCUGUGGGACAUGACCAAUCCAUUGCCUUAUCAACACAUCGAGGGUGAAUUGAGUUCAGAGCUUUGAGCAAACGAUUGCGAUUUUGUAGCUGCAGUGGUGCUAUUCU